CCACCCCCUCUAGCUGGUCGAACUUUUGCACUUACCGAAGGUUUCUGACAAGUUGGGAGUUUGGUUCAAUACACGAGUGACCAAUGCGGCCACAAGAUUGUUGUUUAGGCGUUAACUGCAUUGGAAUCUUAGCGGAAAUUGCAACCUUUACUAUGUAUACCAUUUUAACCCCAAUUUCCGCAUCACGCCACAUCCACAACCACCAUUGUAGGUGCAAUUUAAAACCAUCCAGCCGCUUUUUUAGCAAGUGGUCAUAGGCAAACUGCACAUUGUCAUUGAUGGAACAUGUCGAGCAGUGAGCAAAUUAGGCUGUGCAGGGAGCACAAAUUUUUUAAAGGUACCCUCACACUACGACACAAUAUAUGUAUUUAGCAUUUUGUUAUAGAUAUUAAACCUAAAACACUGAUUUUUAUUGCAAUUUUAUCCUUUAAAAAUUUUAUUUUUUAAUCUUAUUAAUUUUAUCGCUAAUGUUAUAAAGGUUGGGUAAUGGUGGUAGCAAAGACUAAAGGCUUGAGAUGGGUUAAGAAGUUAAAAAGUUGAAGACGAUAAAAAAAAAAUAAUUUGAAAAAUAUUUAAUGAAGUCAAUUCUAAAAUUAACCAUUCAGUACUUCGGUCAAAUGAAGUUUAUUUUUUAUAGAUACGGUUUAUACCAUGAUCCAAAAAUCAUGGUCCAAAUAAAUAUUCACCUCAACAAGAAAUCCUGAAAAGGUAUAAUAGAUACACGCAAAUUGUGCUAGUUAACCACAUGGGCUGAUCUACCCGACUUAUUUGAGGCAUGGGUUUCAUGAACCAUACUCGACAUGACUUGCAUGGCAAAUAAGAUUUUGUUAACCCACUACCCCAUAUAUUUGUCCUUAAUUCAUUUAUUAUUCUAAUGUGGGAUAACUCACUAGUUAUUGGAGGAGAAGUUGCCCUCUAAUGUAAAUGAUGAGAAUUGAGAGUGGUGGCCAAGUAAUCACCUACUAUUAAAUUCAAGUAUUUCUUAAUUACAAUUCAUUUAAAUUUGUCUAAAGUUCUUGUUAAUUUAAGUAUCAAAGUCCUUUACAAGUAUCCCCCAACAGUAUUUAAGACAAGGAUGUCAGACAGAUUCAUUAUCUCGGCGAACAAGUCGAAACCUUCACCCAAAAGAGUCUGAACCUCAUGUCUAGGCCCAUAUCACCUUGGUUUCAUGUAUUACUUCGAAAUAUUGGUGCCGUUGUCAGGUACUUGGAGUCUAAUCUUUAACAAAUGGCAGAUGAUCAGCAACAAGAUAGACACACAACAUUUGAUUCAAGAUCUAGAAGUGGAGAUCAUUACAAUAAUGACAGAAUCCUCUCAUUUCAUCGAGAUUCUAAGAGAAAAGAAAGAUGACAACAGCAUCCCUUAGGGGCAAGGUAAGCCCCAAAAAAUCAUGCACAAUAACAAAGAUUAACCACUCACAGCAACAAAUAUCAUCUUGCCAGAAACAACAAUUUACAAUUACCAAGUACCUUUAAACCAACAAUCUUUAUGGAGACAUUUUCAGAAAUUUAGAAACAUUCUUUAUAAAUAAAAGAUCAACAAUAAAGGAAUCACUAGCAUGCAACAAAGCCACGAAGAACAAAGCAGGAAAAAAAUAAUACUACAAGAAAAACGCCGGUUAUCGUAAGACUAAUCAAAUAAAUCUGCCGCUAAGUACCUUACUGUCGAAUUUACGGUCGUCCUGUAGGUGACGGUAUAAACGUCGCCAGAACCUCUUACCGGCAGAUUUUUUCGUUCGACGCUAAUUACUGACGGAUUUUCCGUCCGUGUUUACAAUGGAUUGUCGAGCCUGGGUUGAUGAUUACCGUCAGAUUAAUCCGACAGUAAAUCCAUCGGCAGGAUCUUUAUUAUUUAUUCUUUUGGCACAGUUUAGCAAUAACUAACCGUCAAAAUGAAAUUAAAACUCUUCUUAAUGAAAUCGUUAUUAGAAAUCUAAAAUUAGCCGAAAUCAACAAAUUAUUUUAUUAAAAAUAAAUGGUAUGAAUACAAUAAAAUGUCACCGAAGUAGAAUAAUGUACCAUAAACAAACAAAAAUGCAUAUAACCCUAAGCAAUUUCAUAAAUCCUAUUAAUUGUCGUUGUCGUUGGUGGCAGCGGCAGUGUCGUGGUCCCCCUGCUGAGGCGGCGGAGUAGGUGCUGCCGUCGGUGCCCUUCCAGCAGCAUUGCUGGGUAACCAGUAGCGCCGCAGCCUCCAUCUGUUGUCGCAGCCACUCGAGCUGCUCCAGCUUCUCCGUCAGGUCCGAGCUAGCGGCAACGCAUACAAGAAUCUCUUGAUACCUCUCCUUAGACUGCUCCUGCUGCUGGUGAAGCUCCUGUGUUAGCUUAUGCACCUCCUCCCUCGGGUCGAUAACCUCCUGGGGAUCAGCAAGGCUGGUGGUAGAGGAAGCCACCAACGUGAAGGAGUGGAGGCCAAUGCCGAAGAACGAGCCCAACCCGAAGCGGCGAUUCUUGUGGGGUUCAGAGGCGGUCUCGCACCAAAUCCUAUCAGGAUCCACGACUGAAGUCUCGGAGCUGGCUUUGUCGGCUCCACCAGGUGGCUGAGAUUGUUGGGUCGCGGCCUCCAACCUCUGCUGAUACUACUCCUGCAUCACACACGAUAGUUAUUAUUAGGAUAAUAGUUAAAUAAUUGACUUUAAACUAAAUGAAGCUGAAAUUUAGGAUUAAUUUAAAAUCACAUAAUAGGUUAUCGACCGCUCGUCAGCAAAUCUCUCCUUAUUUGCUGUCAAAGUAUGUGUAUACUUGAAGGUCUCUGACAGUGUCGCCUCACGAUCCAACGACUUAGACUAUAAAUUAAUAGAUCAACCAAACAAUAAAAUAAACGAACAAAUUAAACAAUGACAGACAAAUAUAUAUGAAGCAGAAAAUCUUUAUUCUACAGUCAAAAACAUAAUUUGAAAUUUUUCGAUUUAAAUGAAAAUCUUAUAAAAAUUUCACAGUAUAGAUUGUAGUUUUGCAACCUCAAUGAACUAAUUUUGGCUUUUCUCCUUUUCUCUUUUAGUGUACCUUCGUGAACAAUUCAAUCACUGUGGAGCAUGCCAAAGAUUAUGGACACACGCAUCUGUCCGAGGUAUGCUAUAUACUGCAACAAAAAGCAGUCAAUGCAUCAUGUAAAUUUCAGUGGCAAUUUAUUUAUUAUAACUGUUGUUUUCCAGAUAAUUGGUUAUGCAGAACGGUUUAAGAACAGAGCAAUCCUCUUGAUUCACUUUUCAGCACGUUACACCGUGGAGGUAAGAUGCUCCCUUUAAUCUUGAAAAUAAUAUAUUCAACCUCUCAAAGCCCUGAUCUUUGUGAUUGGGAUCCUGGGAGAAUGUUAGCUAUAUCUUUGUGAUGCAUAUGCUAUGCAGGAAAUUGAAGAAGCUAUAACUGGUUUGCCACCCCCUCUAGCUGGUCGAACUUUUGCACUUACCGAAGGUUUCUGACAAGUUGGGAGUUUGGUUCAAUACACGAGUGACCAAUGCGGCCACAAGAUUGUUGUUUAGGCGUUAACUGCAUUGGAAUCUUAGCGGAAAUUGCAACCUUUACUAUGUAUACCAUUUUAACCCCAAUUUCCGCAUCACGCCACAUCCACAACCACCAUUGUAGGUGCAAUUUAAAACCAUCCAGCCGCUUUUUUAGCAAGUGGUCAUAGGCAAACUGCACAUUGUCAUUGAUGGAACAUGUCGAGC
rnacentral:lncRNA from 1 species